GCUGGGCAUGGUGGUGCGUGCCUGUAGUCCCAGCUACUCAGGAGGCUGAGGUGGGAGGAUCACUGGAGCCUAGGAGGCUGCAGUGAGCCGUGAUCGCGCCACUGCACUCCAGCCUGGGUGACAGAGUGAAACCCCAUCUCAA
ensembl:misc_RNA Metazoa_SRP Metazoan signal recognition particle RNA